ensembl:lncRNA
UUCAAAAAAAUCCCUAGAACCAGUUUCAGAGCAAUGUUCAGUACGUUCUUAACUGGUUAUCUGAUCACAAAUGAGUGUAACCAGUCCCCUCAAGUACAGGUGAUACCUGUGGUGUGUCCUCCAUUAAAUCAGACUCCCGGCCCCCCCGAUGUAUUAGGGUUAUGAUGCGCUUUGGAGCCGCAUCCAAUUCCUCCAGACAAUUUAAACUAACGUUAAAAUGCCCUUAAAUGGUUGCAAUGAGGUUUUUUGUCCUUGUGAAGGCGGAGCUUAAUUUAGGGGUGAGAUCCUCCGACCUCGUCGGGGUUCUCGGGCACUGAGGGCUGUCGCCUCUCUCUUUUCUGUCUAAGUCUCGGGUAAGAAGCAUGGCAGCGGCGUGCUGCGCAGUUAAUGAGCUUUACAUACAAACGGGCGGAAGCCGAGCACACGCACGCACAGAAAAAGUAGAAAGUCUGGAUAAAACCACCGCCCACACACACACACAGACACACACACACACACACAUGCAUGCACAUUCUUGCUUGUCAAAUCAUAUUAACAUCAGGUCGGGCUGCUUUUUUUUCGAGCUGGUUGCCAUGGCAGCAGCGAGAGAAGAAAAAAAUGGCCAUCCCUUGAUGGUUCAUACAGGCGUCUACAACAACCAUCGGGGUGUCACACACACCAACAGUACCACUACCAACUACUAGAGACCCCCCCCAUGCUGUGCUGAAUGUAAUGAACGACAUAGUGGUGAUAAGUGCUCUGCUUGACUGACGGCAACGUUGCUCUACUUCAGUAGAAGAGAAAUAGUAACAAAAGGCCCAUUCGAUGACGCCAGGAGUCUUAAUGCUGCCAUCAGUAACCCGGUCGCUGUGUUUCUCCGGUCGAGUGCUGAUUUAGAAUUCACUACACGCAGUGCAAUAAUGUUUUUCUUUGACGAUUCAUUGCGUUUGAUUAAUCAACUUUAAUAUUUGUGAUCUCUUGUCGAGUGAACACCAUCAUCACCGUCAUCCAUCUCCUCCACAGCGACCGAGUCGACCGUUUAUCAGACAGCUGGCCGCGAAACACAGAAAAAACGAUUCGGUCAUAAUUCUGAAGAUUAAUGGAUUUUAAAUAUUUAUAAGAUGACUUGAUAGAAAUAUAGCUGCAAUUAAAGAUUUACAUUUUUUACAUAACACAUCAGAAAGUUGUGUAUCAAAACGUAGUGUUCUCUAAAUGCAACUGGGAAUCUAUGUAAUGUAAAACAUAUUAUAGCUUUAAAUGAAGCAAUCCAACUAGUCCAUAGCCAAGAACCGUCCAUGUUCUCUCCCUCACUUUACAAAACUAAUGUGAUGUCUGGGUUGCUUAGUGACAGAGUCAGAGUGACAUCACUUCGGAACAGGUGGAACGGGUUACAGCCACUGAGUAAUAAUGUAAACCGUGAAAGUCACCAGCAACUCACGCGACAGAGAUUACGGUCGUUUGGUAGCCGGAGAAAGUCAAGCAACACACCACCACCUCACAAAAUAAUGCAAACCAUUACAGUUUAUUACUGCACAACACAAAUAGUGCAAAUAAACAGCAGAAUAAUGAAGUCAAUACAGCUAGCUGCUCUUUAAUUGUCACCCAAAAGUACUAAUCAGGGUUCUCCUGCCGGGAGAGAACCACGGAUUAAAAACGUUUUUACUGUAAUGGGUCUCUCUAAAUGUAAUAUUGCCGUACUUAAAUACAUUUUCCCUUCCUGUGUUGUCAGUGUGUCACAGCUGAGAUGCAGUGUUUGAUUAUACAACAGGUCCUCAAGGUUAAACAGUAAAACACGCUCACCGAGAGGCAGAGAAAUGACGCACAAUAUCCUGAUAAGCAACCACCUCGGAGGAACAAAGCAACACGGAGAAACACUUUCAUUAAACAAAACCCAAAGAAACUAUGGGCUACUAGCAAAUUAAAUAACAAUAAUAAUAUAAUACAUGAACCUGGAACCCAAGGGAGCAACAAAAACAGCAUUAACUUCAUUUGACCUGGAUUUACUGUACUGUACAGCGAGGAAUGAUUUACAUGCAUGGAUUGCAGCUAAUUGUUUCUUUCAUGCCAAGCAUGUCUCGGAGGACAUUGCUGCCUUCUCCAAAACAUCUAAUCAAUGAAAUUAGAUGAAAAAACGCAGCAAAAAAAAGGGAACCGAACAAAGCUUGAGGCGCAGAAGCAAGUCGGACUGGAUUUGAUAAAUCGCAGCAUGAAAAAUACGUUCCCAGUCAGAGCAGCUGAUCAAUGAACCUGCAACAUACACGACAUAACAUGUGUUGACUUUAACGAGCCGGCAGGCGCUCUUAAAUAUGCACAGGAGAGGUGCGUGUGCUGUGCAGAAACACCUCGUCACCACACUCAGCUUCUGCUGCAACCACGCAGGUAAAAAAAAGCUUCUCUGGUCGUAUGUAUGCAGAAAUAUCUAUAAAUAUGCAUGUAUAUAGAUCUGUACACUUGAAAGAACCAAGAAGAGAUUUGUGCGAGACACACAAAUUGUAGUUCGUUAUCACGGAUAUUAUGUGAUUUUUGGAUUAUUUUACUGCCGUAGAAACUGCACAGUAUGCAGUAGAACGCUUUAUUCGUGCUGAAUAAUUAGUUAGUUUCUAGGAAAAACUACUUAAGAAAAAG